UACGUAGGGUGCGAGCGUUGUCCGGAAUUAUUGGGCGUAAAGAGCUCGUAGGCGGUUUGUCGCGUCUGCCGUGAAAGUCCGGGGCUCAACUCCGGAUCUGCGGUGGGUACGGGCAGACUAGAGUGAUGUAGGGGAGACUGGAAUUCCCGGUGUAGUGGUGGAAUGCGUAGAUAUCGGGAGGAACACCAGUGGCGAAGGCGGUUGCCUGGGGCUUUGCUGACGCUGAUGCGCGAAAGCGUGGGGAGCGAUCCGG
rnacentral:rRNA from 1 species